UACAGAGGGGGCAAGCGUUGUUCGGAAUUACUGGGCGUAAAGGGCGCGUAGGCGGCCUGUUAAGUCGGACGUGAAAUCCCUCGGCUCAACCGGGGAACUGCGUCUGAUACUGGCGGGCUUGAAUUCGGGAGAGGGAUGUGGAAUUCCAGGUGUAGCGGUGAAAUGCGCAGAUAUCAGGAGGAACACCGGUGGCGAAGGCGGUUCUCUGGGAAUGUUCUGACGCUGAGGAGCGAAAGUGUGGGGAGCGAACAGG
rnacentral:rRNA from 1 species